CAGUGUGCUCAGUUUAAGAAGCACAUUUCUUAGCCUCCUUAGCAGCAAGGUAUGGUAAUGGGAUUAAGUUCUGGCCAAUGAGAUGUAAAAAGUUUUGGGGUGGAAUGUUGGUGAAACCACCUUGAGAAAGAGGGUGUUGGGGAGAUGGCAGAUACAGCAGACCCUUCCUUCCUUCCUUCCUUCCUUCUUUCCCUCCCUCCCUCCCUCUCUCCCUCCCUCCCUCCCUCCUUUCUUCCUUCUUCUCUUCUCUUCUGUUCUCUUCUCUUCUCUCUUCCUUUUAGAACAUGGCACAGUGAUAAAGUCAUAGAUGCAAUCUUGGAUCAUGACGUAAUCUUGAAGGUGGACCUGUGCUGAGAAUGGAGAAGCUGAAAGACAGAAAUAACUCAGUUUCCUAAAGACCAUGGAGUCCUGGAUUGCUCACUUCGAGACUUUGUUGUUGUUGUUUUUUAAAGAGGCCAACUCUCAUUCUGUCACUCAGGCUAGAGGGCAGUGGCAUGAUCAUAGCUCACCACAGCCUUCAGCUCCUGGGCUUGAGCGAUUUUCCCUCCAUAGCCUCUUAAGUAGCUGAGUCUAUAGGUGCACACCACCACACCCAAUGAAUUUAUUAUUUUUUCAUAGAGAUUGGGUCUACUAUGUUGCCCAGGCUGGUUUGGAAUUUCUGGCCUCAAGUGUUCCUUCACCUUGGCCUCCCAAAGUGCUGGAAUUAUAGGUGUGAUUGGCCCGAGGCUGUUUUUAGAAAUACAAUCCAGAAAGCUGCCAGCAGUGGAGCCUGGCUGAGUGGGUGUCCUGCAGGUCUGAGAAUGAUUCACAGCCGUGGAGCUCCUGGAUCAUUCAUCAGCACCACCUAAGACCCUGCUGUAUCCAAUAGGAACAGGGUAGAACUUGGACACUGUGGGUGUGGGAAGAAGGGGUUCGUGUCUCAGUUCCUCCCAUGAUGGUCUAUGACUUUUUCGGCUGAUCUCAGCUCAUUGCACUUUGAGGCUUGAAUGGAUUUUAGAGAACCUAGAUGGAGUCUGUGUUAGACACUGAGGGUUGCCUACCCAACAGCUGUUUCACAUUUUUGCUCAUCAGAACACUGAUUCUGCUGCUGUUUGUUGUAAUUCGUUUUCUCUUUCUCUGAUUUGUUUAGGUAGAGGCCUGUGGUUCCUUUCUUGCCUCAGCACCUCCCCCACCACCAUGAAAUACCAGGGGCACAUCUGGGAAAGUUUUCCUUAUUCUUUUCUUAAGGAGAAGUCCAAGACCAACACUUCCCUCCUCUUGCCUUUGGGCAUUACUGUGAGGGUGUGAAGUCUGGAGCCUUAGGAGCCAUCUUGACACAUCAAAGAAUCACACUGAAAGUGGUGUGUGACCCUGACACCUUUGCGACACUGCAAUACCCAACGUGGGACCCCUCCAUCUGGACUACUAGCUAUGUGAAAUAAUAGAUGAGGACUCUGAGGAUCAGAGAGGCUAAGUGAACCACCUGAGGAAGAGCCAGUCUUUGAAAUUGAGGGGUCCUGCAGAGAUAAAUGUGAGAGAAAGCUGUUUCUUCUAUGAAAUGAAAAUGACAUCCCCUGCCCAAGAGCAGUGGUGUAAUAAUUCCAUAAGAUAAUGUAUUUAAAAUCAUUCAAGGUUUGCUGAUAAGCCAUUAGCUACAACACCAAAGGUACAAGGCAUGAGAGAAAAAGCUGGUAACUUGGAUUUCAUUAACAUUAAAAAAUUCUGCUUUGUGAAAGACACUAUUGAGACAGUCAAAAGGCAAGCCAUAGAAUGGGAGAAAAUAUUUGCAAAACACAUGUCUGAGAAAGGACUUAUAUCCAAUAUAUACAAAAGACACAUCAACCCAACAAUAAGAAAACAAACAAUCCAAUUAAAAAGUGAGCAAAAGGUGCAAUCAGACACCUCUCCAAAUAAGAUGUACAGAAGGGAAACGAUCAUGUGAAAAGUUGAUCAACAUAAUUUGUCGUUAGGGAAUUGCAAGUUAAAACAACCGCAAGAUAUCACUACACACCUAUUAGAAUGGCCAAAAUCCAAAACACUGACAAUACUCAAUGCUGAUGAGGAUGUGGAGCAAUAGGAACUUUCAUUCAUUGCUUGUGGGAAUGCAAAAUGGUAUAGCCACUUGAGAAAACACUUUGGCAGUUUCUUACAAAGCUAAAUGUAAUCCUUCUCUAUGACCUAGCAAUAUGCUCCUAGGUAUUUAUCCAACUGAUUUGAAAACAAAUGUUCAAACAAAAACUUGCCCACUAUUGUUUAUAGCAGCUUUAUUUUAAUAAUUGCCAAAAACUGAAACAAAACAAAACAACGAAACAAAAUGUCCUUCAAUAAGUGAAUUGGUGGACAAAUGGUGGUACGUAUACACAAUGGAAUACUAUUUCAUGAUUCAAAAAAUAAGGUGCUAUCAAGCUGUGAGAGGAUAUGAAUGAAUCUUAAAUGUGUAUUGCUAAAUGAAGAAAGAGUCUGAAAAGGCUGCAUAGUGUACAAUUCCAAGUGUAUGCCAUUCUAGAAACAGCAAAACUGUAAUGGGAGUAAAAAGAUAAGCAGUUGUCAGGGAUUUGGGGGAGUACUGAUCAGAUGAGGUACAGGGAAUCUUUUAGAGUGGUGAAACAAUUAUGCGUGAUACUGCAAUUGUGGAUAUAUGACAACAGGCAUUUAUGAAAACUUAUAGAACUUCACAGCACACAGUGAACCUUUUGUAUUCAAAUGAAUUAAAAAAACCAUUUAGGGCUGGGCGCGGUGGCUCAUGCCUGUAAUCUCAGCAUUUUGGGAGGCUGAGGUGGGUGGAUCACCUGAGGUCAGGAGUUUGAGACCAGCCUGACCAACAUGGAGAAACCCCAUGUCUACUAAAAAUACAAAAUUAGCUGGGCAUGGUGGCAUGCGCCUAUAAUCCCAGCUACCCGGGAGGCUGAGGCAAGAGAAUUGCUUGAACCCAGGAGGUAGAGUUUACCGUGAGCUGAGAUCACGCCAUUGCACUCCAGUCUGGGCAACCAGAGCGAAACUCUGUCUCAAAAUAAAUAAAUAAAUAAAUAAAUAACCAUUUAGGAUGUCAAGGGAACCCAGGACCAGAUGCAUAAAGUGAUAAAACAAUCUAAUUGUAUCACAAAUGUAUAAAACAACCACAGCAAUGGGGUGGAUGAAAUUGUUGUGGACCUAAGUAAUUUUGGAAAUAGAGUCUAUAAAAUUAAAGGCAAAAGAAACUAUAUAUAAGUACUGCACUCUAGUUGAAAAGUUGUUUCCUGUGGGAUAUGGGUUAACAAUUAUGAUACUGCUGUACAGGUAUGCUGGGACUGAACAAAUAAAUACAAAGAUGGUGGAUGGUGGAAGCCAGGUUUUUUACUCUUAGAGGGGAGUGCAUAGAUAAGCAAGAGGAGGAAGCUAGAAUGAUCUACAUGAUAAUGUGUUCGAGUUGGAGGUACAGUGUGAAUCAUGUUUAGCUUAAUAUAGAUACAGAUGUUUAUAUAUAGAAAAUGUAUAGACAUGGAUAUAUACACAGGUUAGUAUACACACAUAUAUAUUUCCUGGUUCUGGCAGCUGAGAGAGCCUAGAAGCAAUGACAUCUCAGUAGCUGCAAGUAUACCUAGAAUCCAUAUUUUGGUUUUCAGUACUAUGGUGCAGUACAAGAAACCAGCAAUCCUUGGAGAAAUGGCUGAAUCUAUGACUGGGGCCAGACGUUUAUAAGACGAUCCUAGAGCAUCUCCUAGUACCAGAAAGUUAGAAAUUUCUCAAAAGCAAAGCAAAACAAAAACAAUGAUAUGGGUGUAUCAAUGUGAUGGAAUAACUAAUUGAAAGAGCUCCCAAUUGCCAAAGCUGGAACAUUUGAACAACAAAAUAAAUAAGGUAGCUGGGCAUGGUGGCUCACGCCUGUAAUCCCAGCACUUCAGGAGGCCAAGGCAGGAGAAUGGCUUGAACCCAGGAGAUUGAUACUAGCCUGGGCAAUAUAGUGAGACCUCAUCUCUACAAAAAAUUUAAAAAUUAGCUGAGCAUCAUGGUGUAUCCCUGUAGUCCCAGCUACUUGGCAGAGCUGAGAUGGAAGGAUUGCUUGAGCCCAGAAAGCAGAGA